AACGAACGCUGGCGGCGCGCCUAAUACAUGCAAGUCGAGCGAGAAGACGUAGCAAUACGUUUGUAAAGCGGCGAACGGGUGAGGAAUACAUGGGUAACCUACCCUCGAGUGGGGAAUAACUAGCCGAAAGGUUAGCUAAUACCGCAUACGACUCCUGGUCUGCGGAUCGGGAGGGAAAGCGAUACCGUGGGUAUCGCGCUCUUGGAUGGGCUCAUGUCCUAUCAGCUUGUUGGUGAGGUAAUGGCUCACCAAGGCUUCGACGGGUAGCUGGUCUGAGAGGACGAUCAGCCACACUGGCACUGCGACACGGGCCAGACUCCUACGGGAGGCAGCAGUAAGGAAUAUUGCGCAAUGGGCGACAGCCUGACGCAGCGACGCCGCGUGGGGGAUGAAGGUCUUCGGAUUGUAAACCCCUUUCGGCAGGGAAGAUGGAACGGGUAACCGUUCGGACGGUACCUGCAGAAGCAGCCACGGCUAACUUCGUGCCAGCAGCCGAC
rnacentral:rRNA from 1 species